UGGAGUGUGGUUCAGUGAGUGAUACAGCAUGUGUUUGGCAUGCACAAGGCUCUGGGUUCAGUUCCCAACACUGCAA
rnacentral:tRNA from 1 species